rnacentral:rRNA from 1 species
AUACGUAGGGGGCGAGCGUUGUCCGGAAUGAUUGGGCGUAAAGGGCGCGUAGGCGGCCUGUUAAGUCUGGAGUGAAAGUCCUGUUUUCGAGAUGGGACUUGCUUUGGAUACUGAUGGGCUUGAGUGCAGGAGAGGUUAUCGGAAUUCCCGGUGUAGCGGUGAAAUGCGUAGAGAUCGGGAGGAACACCAGUGGCGAAGGCGGGUAACUGGACUGCAACUGACGCUGAGGCGCGAAAGUGUGGGGAGCAAACAGGAUUAGAUACCCUGGUAGUCCACACUGUAAACGAUGAAUGCUAGGUGUAAGAGGUAUCGACCCCUUGUGUGCCGGAGUUAACACAAUAAGCAUUCCGCCUGGGGAGUACGGCCGCAAGGUUGAAACUCAAAUGAAUUGACGGGG